rnacentral:lncRNA from 1 species
CCACACAGCGCCCUGCAAACCUGCUGAGUGCUUUCACAUGGUCCCAUGUGAGACCCACGGCCGAUGCCAAACACUCCUGUCCGAAACUGUUUUCAGAGUCAGCUUCAUCUCUAAGCCCCUCCUCGCCCCAGGGUCAAGAGCAUCAAUCAAGAGGGUGGUGGUGGUGGGGUGACAGGAAAGAAUAAAAAGCUCAGCAGCUCAACACAGAGAAGCACCUCCCCUCCCACGGUGAAGGUGUAAAGCAGAAGGCUGGCCAAGGACCAAGGUCCCAGCAAAUGAUGCUGGGAGAAGGCACGCGUCUGAGAGUACACAAGUUCCUGCUGAACCAACUGUGUCCCCAGUUCUUGCUUCAAGAAAAUGUGAAACUCUGCACGAGGAUGCUAGCACGUACGAUUCCUGGCUUCUUGGGAAAUCUCACGCACAAAACUGCCUUUCUCCUCUGCACUGACCGAAUCCACAGUGAGACACCGUGAGGGACAAACUCAGGCUGAGAUUGUAGCUCACUGUGAAGUCCUGAGUUCAAUCCCCAAUACUGGAAAAAAAAAAUUACUGCUGAAAAAUGUUAACAAUCACCUUCACUGCUGGAAAAAAUGUCACCAAAAGUCUUGGCUUGACUCGGAG